AUAAUGUGAAAGCGCUUUGAGUGUGCUGUAAGAGCAUAGAAAGGCGCUAUACAAAUAUAAGACCAUUUAGGGUGUACCCCAUCUUAGUAGUUUAAUCAAUGCAUCAUAUUUUUUAGGAUCAUCAUAUGCUUUGUAUAUAAAAUAACUACAGUACAGCUGUCAAAUAAAUGUAGUAGAGUAAAAAGCACAGUAUUUCCCUCUGAAAUAUAGUGAUGCAAAAGUAUAAAGUGGCAUGAAAUGGAAACACGCAAGUCCAAGUACAUCAAAACUGUACUUCAGGACAGUAUGUGAGUAAAUGGACUUUGUUACCUUCCUCUGCUGGUUUUGCUUGUUUUGCAUUUGAAGUGUAACAUUGCGAACUAGUUUGAGUGUUGGGUUUUUACGAGUGCACCCACCUGAUUCUAAUGUCUGUUUUUCCCUUUGUUUCUUCCUCUUUCUGGAGAGUCACAGUCCUCCUGUGAGACCCCUCCUUGUUCCCCAUCCUCCCCUUGGUGUACACCCUCUGGAGGAUUUUAGGACUCUGGAAAAAAGUCAAGGUGGUCUAUUAUUACAAGACAUCACUGUCAAUUGAGAACCAUCUAUUUAUUUCCAAAUUAGGGGAAGCCCAAGCUGUGGACAGCAGUGGAAAUGAGCUCGGCCGUGCAGUAAGUGUGGCGACCUUGUGGCUAACCCCAUGCUGUUUCCACCGCUCUCCCCACUAAAUGAUGCCUACUGUAUCCUGCUCAGGAGGUGGAGGAAGACAGAGC